ACCGCCAUGGACGGCGGUGGUUCCAGACAGUAGCGAUGUUUUAAAGCAUGACUAUUUGCAAAGCUUUAAAACUCGCGAGGUUAGUUUUUGACAAGGACGUCAAAAACUAACCUCGC
rnacentral:sRNA from 1 species